UGUUGCUAGCGGUCUCACAAGAUCUAUCUGUCAGUUGUUGAUCCGAUGGAAUAAUGUAGUAGAAUGUUUUCAAAACUUGUGUACUUUGAAGACAAUAUGUGGAUAUAAUAUAUUAAUACUAUUAUCAAUUUUGAAAUAAAUGCUAGAUACGAAUUAGACUAACAAAUCAUUGUGAUGGAGGUCAAAAUUUGAUUUCGAGUAACCAAGAGCAUCUGGAAUGCUGUAUGUAGUUAUUCAACCGAACAAUAGUCAACCGAAAGAAAAACUGCACAAAACGAAUACUCAUAAUGAGAGCCGUAUCUAUCAGG